UACGUAGGGGGCAAGCGUUGUCCGGAAUUAUUGGGCGUAAAGCGCGCGCAGGCGGUUCAUUAAGUCUGGUGUUUAAGGCUAGGGCUCAACCCUGGUUCGCACUGGAAACUGUUGAACUUGAGUACAGAAGAGGAAAGUGGAAUUCCACGUGUAGCGGUGAAAUGCGUAGAGAUGUGGAGGAACACCAGUGACGAAGGCGACUUUCUGGGCUGUAACUGACGCUGAGGCGCGAAAGCGUGGGGAGCAAACAGG
rnacentral:rRNA from 1 species